rnacentral:tRNA from 1 species
GUCUUCGUGGUGUAGUGGUCAGCACGCUCGAUGCGUAACCAAGAGGUCCGUGGUUCGAUUCCCGGCGAAGGCG